UCUUCCAUCGAUCACCAGAGUUGCCUUCUGCUCUCGUCUUCCAUUUAUCCCUGCGCAACUCCUAUUCCGAGUGGGUUUUGGAUAUGAGUUGCAGAAACUGAAAGUUGAUACCCAAUCUCCGGGGUGCAUGGCACAAGACAUUGACAAAAGCACUGCAGAACAUGAGAGCUUUUUUCCAUUCCAUAUUCGAAUUUUAGUCAUGUUCUAUUAUUUAAAGCUAUAGGAAAGUUAUUUGAGUAAAAGGAACACAUUCAAGCUCAAUCUCCAGCAUGCCUCUCUCAACCGUCUGCAGUAUCAGACUGAGUUCCUAUCUGACCCUCCCAUCUCCAAUGUUCAUACGUCAUAUUUAAGCUUCAAUGUUCAUAUCGCUUCAAUGUUCAUAAAUCUGUAUAAGAGGUUUGACAUAAAUUAAAGAAAAGUUAUUU